rnacentral:rRNA from 1 species
AUUGAACGCUGGCGGCAGGCCUAACACAUGCAAGUCGAACGAGUGGCGGACGGGUGAGUAAUGUCUGGGAAACUGCCCGAUGGAGGGGGAUAACUACUGGAAACGGUAGCUAAUACCGCAUACCAUCGGAUGUGCCCAGAUGGGAUUAGCUAGUAGGUGGGGUAACGGCUCACCUAGGCGACGAUCCAUAGCUGGUCUGAGAGGAUGACCAGCCACACGGGAACGUAGACACGGGCCAGACUGCUACGGAGGGCAGCAGUGGGGAAUAUUGCACAAUGGGCGCAAGCCAGAUGCAGCCAGGCCGUGUGUAUGAAGAAGGCCUUCGGGUUGUAAAGUACUUUCAGCGAGGAGGCGUUACUCGCAGAAGAAGCACCGGCUAACGCCGUGCCAGCAGCCGCGGUAAUAC